CACGUAGGGUGCGAGCGUUGUCCGGAAUUACUGGGCGUAAAGGGCGCGUAGGCGGGAUGGCAAGUCGGUCGUGAAAUCCCUCGGCUCAACUGAGGAUCGUCGAUCGAUACUGCUGUUCUUGAGGAUUGCAGAGGAGACUGGAAUUCCCAGUGUAGUGGUGAAAUACGUAGAGAUUGGGAAGAACACCAGUGGCGAAGGCGGCUAUCUGGACGGUUUCUGACGCUAAGACGCGAAAAGCGUGGGGAGCAAACAGG
rnacentral:rRNA from 1 species